rnacentral:rRNA from 3 species
AAGCACGAAACUUGCCCCGAGAUGAGUUCUCCCUGAGACUUAGAGUCUCCUGAAGGAACGUUGAAGACGACGACGUUGAUAGGCCGGGUGUGUAAGCGCAGCGAUGCGUUGAGCUAACCGGUACUAAUGAACCGUGAGGCUUAACCUUACAACGCCGAAG